rnacentral:rRNA from 1 species
UAGGGAAUAUUGGACAAUGGGGGCAACCCUGAUCCAGCAAUGCCGCGUGAGUGAUGAAGGCCUUAGGGUUGUAAAGCUCUUUCGCACGCGACGAUGAUGACGGUAGCGUGAGAAGAAGCCCCGGCUAACUUCGUGCCAGCAGCCGCGGUAAUACGAAGGGGGCGAGCGUUGUUCGGAAUUACUGGGCGUAAAGGGCGCGCAGGCGGCCGAUCAAGUCAGGCGUGAAAGCCCCGGGCUUAACCUGGGAAUUGCGCUUGGGACUGAUGGGCUUGAGUUCGGGAGAGGAGGGUGGAAUUCCCAGUGUAGAGGUGAAAUUCGUAGAUAUUGGGAAGAACACCGGUGGCGAAGGCGGCUCUCUGGACCGAUACUGACGCUGAGGCGCGAAAGCGUGGGGAGCAAACAGGAUUAGAUACCCUGGUAGUCCACGCUGUAAACGAUGUGCGCUAGACGUUGGAGGGCGUAGCCUUCCGGUGUCGCAGCUAACGCUUUAAGCGCACCGCCUGGGGAGUACGGCCGCAAG